CUAUGUAUUCCUAAAAGUGAGGGUGUUAUGGGAUUUCGAGACCUUUACUCUUUUAAUCUAGCUAUGUUAGCUAAAUAAUGAUGGAGGUUAAUUACGGAUCCAAACUCACUAGUCACGAAGGUUUUAAAGCCUAAAUAUUAUCUAGAUGGUUCUCUCCUUGAGGCUACACCGAAGAAUGGUUUUUCUUUCAUAUGGCAAAGCAUACUUAUGGGAUUGGAGACUUUUUAA
rnacentral:rRNA from 1 species